GCUAAGGUAGGACUGAUCAGAGAGACGUGGCUAAGGUAGGACUGAUCAGAGACGUGGCUAAGGUAGGACUGAUCAGAGAGACGUGGCUAAGGUAGGACUGAUCAGAGACGUGGCUAAGGUAGGACUGAUCAGAGACGUGGCUAAGGUAGGACUGAUCAGAGACGUGGCUAAGGUAGGACUGAUCAGAGACGUGGCUAAGGUAGGACUGAUCAGAGACCGUGGCUAAGGUAGGACUGAUCAGAGACCGUGGCUAAGGUAGGACUGAUCAGAGAGCGUGGCUAAGGUAGGACUGAUCAGAGAGCGUGGCUAAGGUAGGACUGAUCAGAGAGCGUGGCUAAGGUAGGACUGAUCAGAGAGCGUGGCUAAGGUAGGACUGAUCAGAGAGCGUGGCUAAGGUAGGACUGAUCAGAGAGCGUGGCUAAGGUAGGACUGAUCAGAGAGCGUGGCUAAGGUAGGACUGAUCAGAGAGACGUGGCUAAGGUAGGACUGAUCAGAGAGACGUGGCUAAGGUAGGACUGAUCAGAGAGACGUGGCUAAGGUAGGACUGAUCAGAGAGACGUGGCUAAGGUAGGACUGAUCAGAGAGACGUGGCUAAGGUAGGACUGAUCAGAGAGACGUGGCUAAGGUAGGACUGAUCAGAGAGACCGAGACAUGGCUAAUGUAGGACUGAUCAGAGAGACAUGGCUAAGGUAGGACUGAUCAGAGACCGUGGCUAAGGUAGGACUGAUCAGAGACCGUGGCUAAGGUAGGACUGAUCAGAGACCGUGGCUAAGGUAGGACUGAUCAGAGACCGUGGCUAAGGUAGGACUGAUCAGAGACCGUGGCUAAGGUAGGACUGAUCAGAGACCGUGGCUAAGGUAGGACUGAUCAGAGAGACGUGGCUAUGGUAGGACUGAUCAGAGAGACGUGGCUAAGGUAGGACUGAUCAGAGGGACGUGGCUAAGGUAGGACUGAUCAGAGAGACAUGGCUAAGGUAGGACUGAUCAGAGAGACCGAGACAUGGCUAAUGUAGGACUGAUCAGAGAGACAUGGCUAAGGUAGGACUGAUCAGAGAGACUGAGACAUGGCUAAUGUAGGACUGAUCAGAGAGACUGAGACAUGGCUAAGGUAGGACUGAUCAGAGAGACAUGGCUAAGGUAGGACUGAUCAGAGAGACAUGGCUAAGGUAGGAUUGAUCAGAGAGAUUGAGACAUGGCUAAGGUAGGACUGAUCAGAGAGACAUGGCUAAGGUAGGAUUGAUCAGAGAGAUUGAGACAUGGCUAAUGUAGGACUGAUCAGAGAGACAUGGCUAAGGUAGGACUGAUCAGAGAGAUUGAGACAUGGCUAAUGUAGGACUGAUCAGAGAGACAUGGCUAAGGUAGGACUGAUCAGAGAGACAUGGCUAAUGUAGGACUGAUCAGAGGCGUGGCUAAGGUAGAACUGAUCAGAGAGACAGAGACAUGGCUAAGGUAGGACUGAUCAGAGAGACAUGGCUAAGGUAGGACUGAUCAGAGAGACAUGGCUAAUGUAGGACUGAUCAGAGAGACAUGGCUAAGGUAGGACUGAUCAGAGAGAUUGAGACAUGGCUAAUGUAGGACUGAUCAGAGAGACAUGGCUAAGGUAGGACUGAUCAGAGAGACAGAGACAUGGCUAAUGUAGGACUGAUCAGAGAGACAUGGCUAAGGUAGGACUGAUCAGAGAGACAUGGCUAAUGUAGGACUGAUCAGAGAGACAUGGCUAAGGUAGGACUGAUCAGAGAGAUUGAGACAUGGCUAAUGUAGGACUGAUCAGAGAGACAUGGCUAAGGUAGGACUGAUCAGAGAGACAUGGCUAAGGUAGAACUGAUCAGAGAGACAGAGACAUGGCUAAUGUAGGACUGAUCAGAGGCGUGGCUAAGGUAGGACUGAUCAGAGAGGUUAUUAACUCUGUGUACUGUAGGACCCUGUAUUAACUCUGUGUACUGUAGGACCCUGUAUUAACUCUGUGUACUGUAGGACCCUGUAUUAACUCUGUGUACUGUAGGACCCUGUAUUAACUCUGUGUACUGUAGGACCCUGUAUUAACUCUGUGUACUGUAGGACCCUGUAUUAACUCUGUGUACUGUAGGACACUGUAUUAACUCUGUGUACUGUAGGACCCUGUAUUAACUCUGUACUGUAGGACCCUGUAUUAACUCUGUGUACUGUAGGACCCUGUAUUAACUCUGUACUGUAGGACCCUGUAUUAACUCUGUGUACUGUAGGACCCUGUAUUAACUCUGUGUACUGUAGGACCCUGUAUUAACUCUGUGUACUGUAGGACCCUGUAUUAACUCUGUGUACUGUAGGACCCUGUAUUAACUCUGUGUACUGUAGGACCCUGUAUUAACUCUGUGUACUGUAGGACCCUGUAUUAACUCUGUGUACUGUAGGACCCUGUAUUAACUCUGUGUACUGUAGGACCCUGUAUUAACUCUGUGUACUGUAGGACCCUGUAUUAACUCUGUGUACUGUAGGACCCUGUAUUAACUCUGUGUACUGUAGGACCCUGUAUUAACUCUGUGUACUGUAGGACCCUGUAUUAACUCUGUGUACUGUAGGACCCUGUAUUAACUCUGUGUACUGUAGGACCCUGUAUUAACUCUGUGUACUGUAGGACCCUGUAUUAACUCUGUGUACUGUAGGACCCUGUAUUAACUCUGUGUACUGUAGGGCCCUGUAUUAACUCUGUACUGUAGGACCCUGUAUUAACUCUGUGUC